CUCAGUCAGGUUGACACUGGUCUACUACCAGGCCAUGUGUCUUCUCAGUCAUGUUGACACUGGUCUACUACCAGGUCAUGUGUCUUCUCAGUCAUGUUGACACUGGUCUACUACCAGGUCAUGUGUCUUCUCAGUCAUGUUGACACUGGUCUACUACCAGGUCAUGUGUCUUCUCAGUCAUGUUGACACUGGUCUACUACCAGGUCAUGUGUCUUCUCAGUCAUGUUGACACUGGUCUACUACCAGGUCAUGUGUCUUCUCAGUCAUCUUGACACUGGUCUACUACCAGGUCAUGUGUCUUCUCAGUCAUGUUGACACUGGUCUACUACCAGGUCAUGUGUCUUCUCAGUCAUGUUGACACUGGUCUACUACCAGGUCAUGUGUCUUCUCAGUCAUGUUGACACUGGUCUACUACCAGGUCAUGCGUCUUCUCAGUCAGGUUGACACUGGUCUACUACCAGGCCAUGUGUCUUCUCAGUCAUGUUGACACUGGUCUACUACCAGGUCAUGUGUCUUCUCAGUCAUGUUGACACUGGUCUACUACCAGGUCAUGUGUCUUCUCAGUCAUGUUGACACUGGUCUACUACCAGGUCAUGUGUCUUCUCAGUCAUGUUGACACUGGUCUACUACCAGGUCAUGUGUCUUCUCAGUCAUGUUGACACUGGUCUACUACCAGGUCAUGUGUCUUCUCAGUCAUGUUGACACUGGUCUAAUACCAGGUCAUGUGUCUUCUCAGUCAUGUUGACACUGGUCUACUACC